rnacentral:rRNA from 1 species
UACGUAGGGUGCAAGCGUUGUCCGGAAUUAUUGGGCGUAAAGAGCGUGUAGGCGGCCCGAUUAGUCCGCUGUGAAAGUCCAGGGCUCAACCCUGGAAUGCCGGUGGAUACUGUCGGGCUAGAGUCCGGAAGAGGCGAGUGGAAUUCCUGGUGUAGCGGUGGAAUGCGCAGAUAUCAGGAGGAACACCAAUAGCGAAGGCAGCUCGCUGGGACGGUACUGACGCUGAGGCGCGAAAGCGUGGGGAGCGAACAGG